rnacentral:ncRNA from 1 species
UUAGGAGUAACUUUUGGACUACAUGCAGUUUCAUUAGUGCAUUUUUAUUUGAUUUAAGCCAUAAAAUACAGAAGCGACUUGCGAGAAGCUUUGGUGACUGAAAGAUGAAAUUACUACAUACU